AUGGGAUUCCUUAAGUAAUUGCGAAUGAACAAGGAACUGCUCAGCUUGAAAAUUGGGGCCUUCGGCCUUGAAUUGUAAUUUUGAAAUGUAUUGCCAAUGGAGGCGCAGGUGCAAGCCUAUUGAAAGAAAGCGUCAAUGAGGGUGAGAUUCCUUUUUGUCAUUUGCAGUCCUCCGUGCACGGUAUAUAUUUGACGAGUCACACUCCUUGGCAUUGGAAUGCAAAGUGGGUGGUAAAUUCCAUGUAAAGGAAAAUAUAUUAUUGAGACUGAUAGCAAACAAGUACCAUGAGGGAAAUAUGAAAAGGACUUUGAAAAGAGAAUUAAAAGAGUCUGCAUUUGCUGAACAGAAAGCAAACAGAAUUGAUCUACUUGGUGAGAUUGUUGCGUCCACUUGUGGGCGCAAUGGUUCUUGCCUUGAAUGUCAGCGUCUACUUCUGCAAAUUAUUACCCUUGCAUAUGAAUGGUAAUUUGCCUGUGGGCAUUGGAAUGCAUGUGUUUGCAAUGAUUUGUGAUUUGAUACAUGUGUCUGGUGUUCGUGUGUGUGCCUUCUUGCCAACAAGGGGAGGGCUCUCCUCCCUGGGCACUGCAAGCCCUUGCACAUUGUUGCUGGCAAAAUGUUUCUGCUUGACCCGUCUUGAAACA
rnacentral:rRNA from 1 species